AGCAGCCGCGGUAAUUCCAGCUCCAAUAGCGUAUAUUAAAGUUGUUGCAGUUAAAAAGCUCGUAGUUGAAUUUCGGGAUCAAAUUGUCGGUCGUGCCUCGGUACGCACUGGUAUUAUUGGUUCCUACCUUCUGAAGAACCGCGAUGUCAUUAAUUUGGUGUCGUGGGGAAUCAGGACUGUUACUUUGAAAAAAUUGAGUGUUUAAAGCAGGCUUACGCUUGAAUACAUUAGCAUGGAAUAAUGAAAUAGGACGUUUGAUUCUAUUUUGUUGGUUUCUAGGAUUUGACGUAAUGAUUAAUAGGGAUAGUUGGGGGCAUUAGUAUUCAAUUGUCAGAGGUGAAAUUCUUGGAUUUAUUGAAGACUAACUACUGCGAAAGCAUUUGCCAAGGAUGUUUUCAUUAAUCAAGAACGAAGUUAGGGGAUCGAAGCCGAUCAGAUACCGUCGUAGUCUUAACCAUAAACUAUGCCGACUAGGGAUCGGAUGAUGUUAAUUUUUAUGUACUCAUUCGGCGCCUUACGG
rnacentral:rRNA from 1 species